AGUCGACGGUAACAGGGACUUCGGUCCGCUGACGAGUGGCGCACGGGUGAGUAACGCGUGGGUUACCUGCCCAUAAGUGGGGAACAACUUGGAGAAAUCCAAGCUAAUACCGCAUAAUACCUUCGGGUUAAAGAGGGGGAUCUUCGGACCUCUCGCUUAUGGAUGGUCCCGCGUCUGAUUAGCUAGUUGGUAGGGUAAUGGCCUACCAAGGCAAUGAUCAGUAGCUGGUCUGAGAGGAUGAUCAGUCACACUGGAACUGAGACACGGUCCAGACUCCUACGGGAGGCAGCAGUGGGGAAUUUUGCACAAUGGGCGAAAGCCUGAUGCAGCGACGCCGCGUGCGGGAAGAAGGCCUUCGGGUUGUAAACCGCUUUCAACAGGGAAGAAGGAAUGAGAGCUAAUACCUCUCUGCCUUGACGGUACCUGUAGAAGAAGCACCGGCUAAUUUCGUGCCAGCAGCCGCGGUAAUACGAAAGGUGCAAGCGUUGUUCGGAUUUACUGGGCGUAAAGAGAUCGUAGGUGGCUUGUUAAGUCGGAUGUGAAAUCCCGGGGCUCAACCCCGGAACUGCAUCCGAUACUGGCAGGCUUGAGUUUGGGAGGGGUAAGCGGAAUUCCGUGUGUAGCAGUGAAAUGCGUAGAUAUACGGAGGAACACCUGAGGCGAAGGCGGCUUACUGGACCAAUACUGACACUGAGGAUCGAAAGCGUGGGUAGCAAACAGGAUUAGAUACCCUGGUAGUCCACGCCCUAAACGAUGUCAACUAGCCGUUGCGGGUAUCGACCCCUGCAGUGGCGCAGCUAACGCGAUAAGUUGACCGCCUGGGGAGUACGGUCGCAAGAUUAAAACUCAAGGAUUGACGGGGCCCGCACAGCGGUGGAGCAUGUGGUUUA
rnacentral:rRNA from 1 species